rnacentral:rRNA from 1 species
UAGGGAAUCUUCCACAAUGGACGCAAGUCUGAUGGAGCAACGCCGCGUGAGUGAAGAAGGUUUUCGGACCGUAAAGCUCUGUUGUUGGCGAAGAAGGAUAGAGGUAGUAACUGGCCUUUAUUUGACGGUAAUCAACCAGAAAGUCACGGCUAACUACGUGCCAGCAGCCGCGGUAAUACGUAGGUGGCAAGCGUUGUCCGGAUUUAUUGGGCGUAAAGCGAGCGCAGGCGGAAGAAUAAGUCUGAUGUGAAAGCCCUCGGCUUAACCGAGGAAUUGCAUCGGAAACUGUUUUCUUGAGUGCAGAAGAGGAGAGUAGAACUCCAUGUGUAGCGGUGGAAUGCGUAGAUAUAUGGAAGAAUACCAGUGGCGAAGGCGGCUCUCUGGUCUGCAACUGACGCUGAGGCUCGAAAGCAUGGGUAGCGAACAGGAUUAGAUACCCUGGUAGUCCAUGCCGUAAAACGAUGAGUGCUAAGUGUUGGGAGGCUUCCGCCUCUCAGUGCUGCAGCUAACGCAUUAAGCACUCCGCCUGGGGGAGUACGACCGC